UCUUUAGCAACAUCUCUACUGCUUGAAAUAACCAAUAAUUAUUGUAUGUCAAAGAGUGGACCACUACUUGAUUUUUUUUGUUCCAUGCUUUUUAUUAUCUUGUAUGUACUGUAUUUCUUUGAGGUUCCUACAUUUUCCAACCACUAUUGGAACUCAAAAAAGAUAAUUAAAAAUGGCCAUGACCAAGAUGUCCUUAGCAACUCCAUUGCUCUUGGCUGCUAUCGUUAUCUUUAUCUUGCAGGUUGUUGCAGAGCAGCCAAUAUCUGAAGCUAAAGGUGAAUCUGCAAUCCUUCAGGAAUCAAUCA